rnacentral:tmRNA from 1 species
CCCCUUCCCCCCGCCUCGUCGAACCCCUAUAUCCCUCCCCGCCGGCUUCGGCCGGCUAUGGUGAUAAAGUGCAUGUUGUGUUUGGCGCAGCGGACCCGGGGGCGGUACCCGGCGGCUCCACCAAAACCUGUCUUUCAAGGCAGGCUUUGACGGGGCCGAACUAGGAUCGACGUGUGAACAGGCACCUUGUUUUUGCCCGGGACGAGAACACCCGUAAAACGUCUCAAAACCACAAGUGCCAACGAUAACGAGGCGCUCGCGAUUGCUGCGUAAUCACGGCCUAACGGCUUAGAUUACAAAGCUUGAACGCGGUUCGGGCCGAACCGGGCAACAGAAUCGGAUUCCG